AACGAACGCUGGCGGCAUGCCUAACACAUGCAAGUCGAACGAGACCUUCGGGUCUAGUGGCGCACGGGUGCGUAACGCGUGGGAACCUGCCCUUAGGUUCGGAAUAACUCCCCGAAAGGGGUGCUAAUACCGGAUAAUCUCUUCGGACCAAAGAUUUAUCGCCUUUGGAUGGGGGCGCGUUAGAUUCGCUGGUUGGCAGUGGAAAAGCAUAGCAAUGCGACGAUCCAGAGCUGGUCUGAGAGGAUGAUCAGCCACACUGGGACUGAGACACGGCCCAGACUCGUACGGGAGGCAGCAGUGGGGAAUAUUGGACAAGGGGCGAAAGUCUGAUCCAGCAAUGUCGCGUGAGUGAUGAAGGCCUUAGGGUUGUAAAGCUCUUUGAGCCGGGAUGAUAAUGACAGUACCGGGAGAAGAAGCACCGGCUAACUCCGUG
rnacentral:rRNA from 1 species